rnacentral:rRNA from 1 species
UACAGAGGUGGCAAGCGUUGUUCGGAAUUACUGGGCGUAAAGGGCGCGUAGGCGGCCUUCUAAGUCAGACGUGAAAUCCCCCGGCUUAACCUGGAACUGCGUCUGAUACUGGGAGGCUUGAGUAUGGGAGAGGGAUGUAGAAUUCCAGGUGUAGCGGUGAAAUGCGUAGAUAUCUGGAGGAAUACCGGUGGCGAAGGCGGCAUCCUGGACCAUAACUGACGCUGAGGCGCGAAAGCUAGGGGAGCAAACGGG